rnacentral:rRNA from 1 species
CUACGGGGUGCAGCAGUGGGGAAUAUUGGACAAUGGGGGAAACCCUGACGCAGCAACGCCGCGUGAGUGAAGAAGGCCCUUGGGUCGUAAAGCUCUGUCAAUGGGGAAGAAGUUAUUAUGUGUUAAUAGCACAUUUUAUUGACGGUACCCAUGAAGGAAGCACCGGGUAACUCCGUGCCAGCAGCCGCGGUAAUACGGGGGGUGCAAGCGUUAUUCGGAAUUAUUGGGCGUAAAGGGCACGCAGGCGGUCCUGUCAGUCAGAUGUGAAAGCCCGGGGCUCAACCCCGGACGUGCAUUUGAAACAGCAGGACUUGAGUACGGGAGAGGAAAGGGGAAUUCCUGGUGUAGAGGUGAAAUUCGUAGAUAUCAGGAGGAACACCGGUGGCGAAGGCGCCUUUCUGGACCGAUACUGACGCUGAGGUGCGAAGGCGUGGGUAGCGAACGGGAUUAGAUACCCGAGUAGUC